UUAUAAAAUAUAAAUAUAUUAUGUAUCCCGCAGUUACACUAUUCAUUACACAUGUUACCAUUCACAUUUUGUUUUAAACCAUUUAUUUAGACGAAACGCACUUGUCCCGCAGUAUGCGUUUUUCUAACACAAACCACACUUAAAUCGCACCGCACUAAUCAAUCUGCUUGUCCCACCCCGCUCAACCCGAUGUUAGCCAUAAUAUGAAACCAUCAACGACUAGACACUUUUAUUAUGUUUUGACCAUCCACCAAAUGAUUAGCGCGCGGCUUACAACUUUCAGAACUUUAAUUUAAUUGCCAUAGCAAAUUUAAAAAUGCAUGUAUGCAUAUUGAACGUACGGUUAAACGCACAACGUCGUUCCGUGCUGCCACUUGAUUUAGUAUAAUUAUUGUUCGUAUUCAAAUUUGUAACUAACUUCUUCUUUCUUCACUGGAAUUUGUCUUUAACCUGAAUGUUAGACUAUUUCCAAAGCAUACAAAAACUUAUGUAGAAUACAAUAUAAAUAUAUAGAGAUAAAUUAAACAAAAAAAUUGUACAAAAAAAUCGAAUAUAUAAGCUGUCAUAUUUGGAAUCAUUCUCAAAGUUAAUCCUGCCACGACCCAAGAACAAAUUUAGAGACUUGAGUUCACAUGUGUGACAAAAGGUUUAUCAUGAACUAUUAAAUUGUGGCUUCUAACCGUUCUUUUGGUACACCAAUUAUAAUUUAUAAUUAGCUUUACAUGGAUGUUAAUGCUACACACCAGAAUCAAAUUGUCCAACCCAUUAAAAACAAUAAUCAGAGGUGGUCAACCAGUUGACUACAAAUAUAUAAAUAUUGUUUACAGUUUUUUGGUGUUAGAUCAUUACAAUGGAAUACAUGUUUAAGUAUUUAAGACAUUAACUAAUUCUAAAAUUUUGAACAAAAGUUUAAUGCUGUAAUUUCUCUCUUUAGCUAUAUUGGUCGGUCGGCCAAAUUGAGCAAAAGACUGCACAAUUUUACGAUCUCGAAUCUAAUUAAGCUUUAAACUUUAAAUUUAUCUGAAUCCUCUUAAUUGUAUAUUUGGGGUACCUCAUAUGCAUAUAUACAAACAUAUAUAUGAUUGACGAAAAAUAUUUAUGUUUUUAUAUGUAGAUAAUGUUUCUGUAGUGACAAACAUGAUGAUGCUGAGAUCACGACCAGAGAUAAUUGAACAGUGAAUUUGAGAUGAAAACUUAAAAUAACUAGAAACAGUUGAUAUACCAUUUUCAACACGAAGGGGGAAAUUAAUAAAAGUCUAAUAAAUAGUCGCGAUCGUGUUUAUAUAUAAUUAAAGAUUUAUUCAGUCGGCAUUCGGCACUACACUACACAAGUUAAUUUGUCUCAUUAUAUCAAUAAUUUAUCUCAUUAUAUCGAUGUUGUCUUAAAUUCUAAAGGGAACUUUUAUUCAUUUUUAUAUUAAGAUUUAAUCUAAAGGAAACAAUAAUUUGCUUUGAGAAAUCAGAAAGAGAUCAUUAGUUGCAUAUUAGAUCCCAUUCUCGUACGUAAUUGCAUUUGUUCUGAAAUUGUUUUCUUUAAUUUCAAAACUAAAACUUUUUUUUUUAAAGAAACAUUAGGGCAGGGUAAUAGAAUAGCAUUAUAGUAUUACUAAAACAGCAGAACCACUUUAACUAAGUAGGAUUUCUUAACGAAUAAUCACAGAGUGGUGAAAAUAGUUUUAAUAGAUUAAUUAUGUUAUCCAUGUAUAUACCGGUUAUCGAAUCUGUACAUUGAGUCUGUUUAGAUUGGUUUAGUGGUUAAGGCUUCUGGUUAGCCUGAUCGAGUCAUGUAUAUAAACCAGUCCCAUCGUACAUUUCAUUAAUUAAUGUGAAUGAAUAUAUUUACUAAUAAAUGAUGUAUUAUUUUAUAACUAUAUGUUAAAACUUAACAUAUAGAUCAUGAUAAAUGGAGUUCUAAUUUUCAUAGUUUUAUAUUUAACAAUUUAAUUAUGAUAUUCUUACUAUUCAUAAUAUUCAUCACAUGAGAAAAUCGUUUUCCAAUGUUUUAAAUGAUAAUUUCAGAUGAGAAAACUCUCUUCAUCUUUAGAACAUACAUCGUUGUUUUGCUCAAAAGUUUCCACAAUAAAACACAUCUCUUACUCUCAGUAGUAAAGAAAAACAAAUCGGAAGAAAGAAACAAGUAAAAAAUAUUAUUCUCUUAAAGUAUUCAUUUUUUUGGGUAAAGGCAAAUAGGAUUAUGCUGUUGUCAUGAUUAAUAAAAAUACGUACGGGUCUUUUAAGGGCAUCUAAAUCAAAUUUAGCCCCGUGGGUCCUUUCUUAUUUUACUUGCCUAGUGAAAUAUUGUCGCAUAUCUUCCUAUUCACCCCUACCACAACCCCAAAGCAAUUGUUGCAUAUAAAUAAGAGAGUUGAUUGAGGAAUGAAGACAAAUACCCAUCAAGCUAUGUCUCUCACUUUCCUUCAUUAACUCAUUUCCAAAAAUAAUAUAUUUUGUAAAAUUCUCAAACUUUUUUUCUUUAACUUCAUUCCUUUUCACUACCAAAAACCUCCAAAUCCAAAAAAGACAGUGGUUAAUGUGCCAUUGGUGUUUUUGGUAUAUAGCUCUUGUUAAAAGUAAGAUCACCAAUGACGGCAUUAGAGAGUACGUUCAAGAACUCGGUGACUAACUCAGUGAGUCAAGAAAACAAGAAAGAGAAGACUAAUCUUGUUAGAGAUUCCGGUAAGCAUCCGGUUUAUCGAGGUGUCCGAAAGAGGAACUGGGGAAAAUGGGUGUCCGAGAUAAGAGAGCCGAGGAAGAAAUCUCGUAUCUGGCUAGGAACGUUUCCUUCACCAGAGAUGGCGGCGCGUGCACACGACGUAGCCGCUCUGAGCAUCAAAGGAGCCUCCACGAUACUCAACUUCCCUGACCUCGCCGGUUCUUUCCCACGGCCAAGCUCUCUCAGCCCUCGAGACAUCCAAGCCGCAGCUCUCAAAGCUGCACACAUGGAAAAAAAAAAAAAAAAACAUAAACGAAACUGCUCACUGAUUAAUAUGGUCGACAAUGAAUUAGUCCUUUUAUGUUCUGCCCCCGAAGUUUUAAACCCAUUAUCAUAUAGUAAGUGACUAUUGCAUGCUUAUAAAUGAUGAACUUAGAUAACAGGGAGGAAAAGUUUCAUCUUCUCACAUGAUUUUCCAAUGAGACUUCUAUCAAAAAUAUCAUCCACGAUAUGUUUUCUCACAUGAUUUUCCAAUGAGACUUCUAUCAAAAAUAUCAUCCACGAUAUGUUGAGCAAUUCUUCAUUUAAUCUCAUGCUUUAAAAUUAUUGCUGGUGGUUUAGCUAAAUCUCCUCUUAUACGUCCGUCUUCUUUUUCUUGUGUGGAGGUUUAAACUCUUGUUUUAACUACAUGAAUAAAAGUUUUAACAUAAAAAAUGACAUGGAUUAAAAAAGCAAUUUCUUUAUUUCAAAUGAAAAAUCGUUUUAUGUUCGUUUGUUUGUGUAUUUUCAGAUGUCAUCUGAGUGUAAGUUUAAGUUAAUAAUAUAAUAAAAUACAAUAGAAAGUCAAGAGCCAAACUUAUUUUGGUAAAGCAUAAUAGAUUUCUUAUAGGUGAAAAUAUUAAAACCUUUUCUCAAAAAGAUAUUAUUAAAACCAUAAUUUGAAACCGAUGGAAUAAUAAUGCAUAAGAUUCGACAACAAUAACUAAGUAGGCUCCAAAAACAUGACAUUAAAUAAAGCUGGACACACAUUAACGAUACUGAAACUAGUUACUGCGAACAAUUCUUUGGAUCACAAUUAUCCCUUGUUCUUCCGUUUAUAAUACCAACGACAGACAAUAACAUCGGUCGGUGAGUUCCUGUAGAAUAAUGUCGACAAAUUGCAAUAAUUGAGUUCUACUGUUGCAUGCAUAUACAUAAACAUUAUUUUGAGUAUGAAUGGGACCAAAACGACAACGAUACGCGCGUUUCGUUGACUCCUUACAUCUCCUAUGUAAGAAAAGCAAAAACUUAUGGGCAUGCCCUACAUUUCCAGAUGUCUCUCUUGGACCAUUUGUUUGCCAAUUAAAUCAUACAACUUGGCUCUUUUUCCAAUGACUCCAUCGAUAAGCUUUUUUCUCCCGUCGACACAAAAAAUGCCUUUUCUCUUUUCUUUGUUCUUUUUUCUUAACAUUUUUCCCGUAUAUUAUGUUCUCAUAAUCAUAGAUUUUCAAAAUAUUACUAUUAUCUGUAUAAACGAGAAACUCUAACCGCAUGCAGUCUAAUUGCCUCUGCGAAAAAAAGUUUUAUGUUAUUUUAAGGUUUAGAACUCAACACAAUGUAACAAUUGGAAAAGAGACAUGCAUAUAAGCUCAUGACUUUAAAUAACAAGAAAACAAUACAAUAACAUCUUAGCAGUGAGGUACACAAUUUUUAUGUUGCAUGUUUAAACAAAAAAAACUUUUAGGCGAAAACAGUAUAAUGCUACAUUUGAUUCGACACGUUUGAGUCGAUAGUCAAAUUUGUUUAGAUUUUAGAAAGAUCGGUUCUCAGAAUCUGAAUGUAGAAAGCGUUGCAUGAUGUAUAUAUCUAGGAACUUCGGCAAACGCGCUAGUUUAUCCAAGUGUGUGAUUUGUCUUAUCCAAAUGCUAAAAAUUCAGCCACACCAAUUCUUGUAUAAUUCCCUAGUCACUAAUUAAUGAGAGUUAGGAUUUGGAAUGAUUCAUUCUAAAAUUUAGGUAAAUACAUUGAUCUUGUAGUUUUUUUUUAGUUUAUUCUAUUUCAGUGCCUAGAGCAUGUAACAUGAUAACAUGACUCUCAUUAACUGUUGAAUGUAAAUAGUUUAGUUUAUUAUGGGUAAGAGAAAUUUACUUUUCUUUUGCUUGGGGUUGAUUUUUUGAACUUGCUCUUUCUCCUUGAGAAUCAUAAUAUUAGGGAUCAUAAGUCGAUACGUUGCAUGUGUUAUCCUAAGACUAUGGCCACUAAUUGAAGGUGAAACACAUUGAGAAAUUAUAAUGUUGUUUUUAGGAACUUCAUAAUUUGUUUUGAACACGUUGCUCAAUAGUAAUCUCUAGUUAUAAAGAGAGUUAGGAGAUUAUGAUUUUGUUUGGUAGUUAAUUCAAGCACAAUAAUAGCAGCUUGAAAAUCAUGUUUAGUUAAACUCUCUUUGUCCAUAGAAUAAAACCAUAUAUAGCAUCCUUAAAUAGCUAAAUAUCAUUUUCCGUCUAAUUUAGUAAGUGGAGAACACUUAAUAAAAUUCCUAGAAUAUGAACAUUUAUAUCCCGGGUUCUAGACGUUUUCAGUCACACCACCUAUCUUUAUGACCUUAUUGUAUACGUUGAGUAGCUUCAGAGUAUUAGCAUUGGUGAGUAAGUCUUAAUAAAUAUUUUAUCAAUAAAUUAAAUAGAAUAACCACACAAGCGUGAUCGAGCGGCACAAUGGAUUCAAAAAGCGUUAAGCACUUUGAAUUAGAAAUCUACCAUUUUAGAUAUCCGUAUGUGUGGUAACUACUUCUCAUUUCGAAUAACUGGAUUUGCUUGGCGCCGGCUGACAGGCCUCCAAGUAAUUUUGGUCCGCCAGAUUAUAAAAAAAUAAAUAAGAAAAUAGAAAAUAAAAUAAAAGUAUGAGAUCAUAUUAAAGAUAAUAACAUUUGUAAAAGACUUUCAAUAAUUGAUAAUAAUUUAAUGACUAAUUCUUUAAGUCAAAAUAUAGUUUUUUUUUUGUAAAGAUCAAAAUAUAUUGUUAAUUUUUAAUGAAUCGUUCAUCAAUAUUUAUGCUCUUUGACAACUAUUUUUUCUUGUGAUCGAUCCCCGAAUAUUUUCGCUAAGAAAUAUAAGAUUCGAUUAUCAAGUUUGCUUUCCAAAGACAUAUAGGCUCCAAAUGUUUAGUGCGGUCCGGACGGGACAAAGUAUGAAACGUCAUUUGGUUACCAUUCAAACAAACUUUAGUAUUGUGGUUUUAAUUAAAAUAAAAAAAAAUACAAACGAACAUAGCUUUUUGAUAAACGGCACCCAAAAAUAAGAAGAAGGAUAGGUGUGGUUACAUCACUGCUGUUUACUUAUUUUAUUUUUAUUUUUAUUUCAUGUAAAAUGUGUAGUAUACUUUUUAUAUGUUUAUUUGUUUUAUUAUACUAUCCUAUUUCUAAAGGAAAACAGUAUAAUUUUACAAAUACAUAAAUGGUAAUGUAUAUAUUUUCUAUUAGUUACAUAUACUUUCUACGAUUAAUGUCUUAUAAAAUUUAUUACAUACUUAUUAUAAUAUGAUUGACUUAUAAAAUGAACCUAACUUAUGAUAAUUUUUUGUUAUUCUUUUUACGUGCCUCACAUUAUAAUAUGUAUCUUAUUUUAAGGGCAAUAAUCUUUAUAAUAUACUGCAUUCUUUCUUUAAAGAUAGAUAUUUUAUUGUUUUCACAUAUAUUAAAAACACAUUAAAUCACUAUCAUAAAUAUAUUAUUUCUACAAUUUUUAAUUUUCAAGAUAAUUAGUGAGUAAUAACAUAUUAAAUUUCAUAUUUGAUAUAUAUAAUAUUUUUAAACUAAUAUAUAUGUAUACAUAUAUAAAAUAAUAUUAGUUUUAAUGAUUUUUCAGUUUAUAAAAUAUAAAUAUAUUAUGUAUCCCGCAGUUACACUAUUCAUUACACAUGUUACCAUUCACAUUUUGUUUUAAACCAUUUAUUUAGACGAAACGCACUUGUCCCGCAGUAUGCGUUUUUCUAACACAAACCACACUUAAAUCGCACCGCACUAAUCAAUCUGCUUGUCCCACCCCGCUCAACCCGAUGUUAGCCAUAAUAUGAAACCAUCAACGACUAGACACUUUUAUUAUGUUUUGACCAUCCACCAAAUGAUUAGCGCGCGGCUUACAACUUUCAGAACUUUAAUUUAAUUGCCAUAGCAAAUUUAAAAAUGCAUGUAUGCAUAUUGAACGUACGGUUAAACGCACAACGUCGUUCCGUGCUGCCACUUGAUUUAGUAUAAUUAUUGUUCGUAUUCAAAUUUGUAACUAACUUCUUCUUUCUUCACUGGAAUUUGUCUUUAACCUGAAUGUUAGACUAUUUCCAAAGCAUACAAAAACUUAUGUAGAAUACAAUAUAAAUAUAUAGAGAUAAAUUAAACAAAAAAAUUGUACAAAAAAAUCGAAUAUAUAAGCUGUCAUAUUUGGAAUCAUUCUCAAAGUUAAUCCUGCCACGAC
rnacentral:lncRNA from 1 species